rnacentral:lncRNA from 1 species
CUUCCCCAAUCUAGCAAUGCAGGCAAACAUUCAGAUUCAGGAAAUACAGAGAACGCCACAGAGCUACUCCUCAAGAAGAGCAAUUCCUUUCCCACCAUCCCACCGUCUUCUCCCAUAGUUCUCUCUUUAGGCUGCUUCCAAGAGGAUAUCUGCAACAACAGGUAUGAAGGUCAUACCCUUUCUAAUCUUUUCCCUGAUUACAUUUAUCCACUGAAAAACUUUAACAAAAAGUAUUUAGGCUGCACUCUUAUUUAGAUGUUUACAUGCAUCAUUUUAAUCACAUGUUUAGGUUUAUUGGAUAUGUUUCCAUUCAAAACCUCUUUAUAAGGCAUCUUAACCAGGGUUAGAAGCAUUCUGCUUUUCUAACACGUUUUCCACAUUUCUAUUUACACACCAGCCAAUUCUAUCUGGAGUUUAGCUCCAUCUUUUAACACUUUGCCAAAGGUAUCACAUAAUAUUCUACAAAUACACAUACAACUGACAUAUUUGUCUCCAGCUUUUUGUACAGCCUCACAUUUGUAAGGCAUGUGAUUUGCUUUCUAGAUUACUGCAGGUAAAAAUUUUACCAAACAUUUUUUCAUCUUCUCAACCUGCGAUAUCAGUUUUCUUACCACUUCCUGUCUGAUUGCUAAACCAAUGCCUCCUAGUUUGGAUUUUA